AAAAAUAAUAGAAAUUAAAAACUUUAGCAUAAAUAGAUCUCUCUAUUAAACUAAAACUAAAAAUCCCAAGACAACAUGCUCUCAAAAUAAAACUCUUACUAAAAACAUUACUCUCAAUCAAAAUAAAAAUAAAUAAAUAAGAACAACAUGAUACCCAAAACAGAACGAUUAAACACCAAUUAAAAAUAUAACCUUUAAAAGAAAAACAACUAAA
rnacentral:lncRNA from 1 species